GACGAACGCUGGCGGCGUGCUUAACACAUGCAAGUCGAACGGAAAGGCCCUGCUUUUGUGGGGUGCUCGAGUGGCGAACGGGUGAGUAACACGUGAGUAACCUGCCCUUGACUUUGGGAUAACUUCAGGAAACUGGGGCUAAUACCGGAUAGGAGCUCCUGCUGCAUGGUGGGGGUUGGAAAGUUUCGGCGGUUGGGGAUGGACUCGCGGCUCAUCAGCUUGUUGGUGGGGUAGUGGCUUACCAAGGCUUUGCCGGGUAGCCGGCCUGAGAGGGUGACCGGCCAGAUUGGGAGUGAGAUACGGCCAGACUCCUACGGGAGGCAGCAGUGGGGAAUAUUGCACAAUGGGCGGAAGCCUGAUGCAGCAACGCCGCGUGCGGGAUGACGGCCUUCGGGUUGUAAACCGCUUUCGCCUGUGACGAAGCGUGAGUGACGGUAAUGGGUAAAGAAGCACCGGCUAACUACGUG
rnacentral:rRNA from 1 species